UCACACGGUGCACACACAACUCACCCACACUCACAGUAAAGAACAGAAAGAAGGGAAAAGAAAGAAAAUGGAGUGAGGGUUGCGAGAGAAGAGGGUGGAUCCAAGAGAGAGAGGGAGAGCGCCGGCGAAGGAGGAGGCGGCGGGUUGCCGGUUCGUCCACGGGCCGCCUCUAGAACCACGAAGAGAAGGAGAACCUCGCGCCGCCGUCAACCCGUCGCCGCUGUUCGUCCUUGCCGCCGCCAGCUGCGCCGUCGCGAAGAAGAGAUGCGCGAAAGAGGAAAGGCCAGUUUUGUCACCACCGCCGUGCCGUGCUCCAAGCCGUCACCACCACUGUUCUGUCACAAGAGAAGGAUGUGCGAGGGAGGAAACAGAAUCGCGAGGGUGCUCAGCCAUGGAGAGAGGAGACGCGCGUCGAAUCUGUCGCCGCCGGUCCGCCCACCGCCAAACCACGCCGCCGUCCGUGAGGCUGUCUCCAUCGCCGCUGCCGGAGGUUGCCAUCGGAGCCGCUGCUCCACUUCUGUCAUUCUUCUUUUUCCGGGUUAACUUUAUGGGUUUGCAUGUCAAAAAUUAAGGUUGUUGCUGAGCCACUGAAGCCCCUGGCCACUGUCAGAGCUGCUGCCAGUUAAGUUUGGGGUGGUUGGCGUGUCGUUCUUUUAUUCCAGAAUUAGAAACCGGGGCCGCAUGUCACGUUUGAGGCUGUUCUGCUUUUGAGGAAGCGAGCAGAGCUGAGGUUUCAGUUGCAUUGAUUUCGGGUCGAGAGGAAAGGAAUUUCUUGAGGCAUUUGGAUUGUGGUUUGAACGUGUCGAGGUUUUUCCCUUUUCAGGAUAUGGACGACGAAGCUUCAGAAAAUUU